rnacentral:rRNA from 1 species
GACGAACGCUGGCGGCGUGCUUAACACAUGCAAGUCGAACGGAAAGGCCCUGCUUUUGUGGGGUGCUCGAGUGGCGAACGGGUGAGUAACACGUGAGUAACCUGCCCUUGACUUUGGGAUAACUUCAGGAAACUGGGGCUAAUACCGGAUAGGAGCUCCUGCUGCAUGGUGGGGGUUGGAAAGUUUCGGCGGUUGGGGAUGGACUCGCGGCUUAUCAGCUUGUUGGUGGGGUAGUGGCUUACCAAGGCUUUGACGGGUAGCCGGCCUGAGAGGGUGACCGGCCACAUUAGGACUGAGAUACGGCCCAGACGCCUAAUGGAGGCAACAGAGGGAGAUAUUGCACAAUGGGCGGAACCCUGAUGUAGCAACGCCGCGUGCUGGAAGACAGCCUUCGGGUUGGAAACCGCUUUCGCCUGUGACGAAGCGUGAGUGACGGUAAUGGAUAAAGAAGCACCGGCUAACUACGUG